rnacentral:lncRNA from 1 species
CCCUCUCCCCGCCUUUCUAAUUCUUGAGUCAAUGCACUCGUUUGCUAUUAGGACUUUGUCCAGAAUUUGCCUUCCUUGAAGAAAGGCCCCUUGUUCCAUUGAUAUAAAUUUAGGUAGAAGCAAAGCCAGGCGAUUAGCAAUCAUUUACAUCAAGAUCUUAUCUUAUAUAAGAAAUAACAAAGACUAAUAGGAUGAAAAUGAUGAAAGGAGGUAGGAUGAAAAACAUACACACACACAUAUAUAUAUAUAAUAGAAUUUCACAAAUCACACCAUCAAACUUUCUAGAUAUAAUGCUCAAAACUAAUAAAAUAACUUAUUACAGACAUACUAAAUAUGU